rnacentral:rRNA from 1 species
CACGUAGGGUGCGAGCGUUGUCCGGAAUUAUUGGGCGUAAAGAGCUCGUAGGCGGUGUGUCGCGUCGGCCGUGAAAACCUGCAGCUUAACUGUGGGCUUGCGGUCGAUACGGGCAUCACUGGAGUUCGGCAGGGGAGACUGGAAUUCCUGGUGUAGCGGUGAAAUGCGCAGAUAUCAGGAGGAACACCGGUGGCGAAGGCGGGUCUCUGGGCCGGAACUGACGCUGAGGAGCGAAAGCGUGGGUAGCAAACAGG